ACCAGCUACAAUUUGAGUUUAAAGUCUUAUUUAUAAACAAAUAUGGUAAAAUUAACAACCUUAGUUCUUCUGGUACUUGUGGUAACAGUCUUAAACGCAGGUAUGUCUACAUCAAGCGAUGUAGGGAGCAAGGGAGUCAAUCGCCAGGUCUUCGACAUUCCAUGUAAAGAUGGAUACAUACGUGUAGGUGGGAAGUGUACAGAAGUAUUCAAGGGUUAGGAGCUUUUUCGAGGUUUCACAUUCAAACACUAUACCGGGCAUCAAUAAAAAAAUGGACCAAUUAUACGUGUAUAAAAAAAUAUUAUAACAAUAUUAAAUGCGAAACUAAGAGACUUC